rnacentral:rRNA from 1 species
UACGGAGGGUGCGAGCGUUGUCCGGAAUCACUGGGCGUAAAGGGCGCGUAGGCGGCCUGAUAAGUAGGGGGUGAAAUCCUGCGGCUUAACCGCAGGGCUGCCUUCUAAACUGUCAGGCUCGAGCACAGUAGAGGCAGGUGGAAUUCCCGGUGUAGCUGUGGAAUGCGUAGAGAUCGGGAAGAACAUCAGUGGCGAAGGCGGCCUGCUGGGCUGUUGCUGACGCUGAGGAGCGAAAGCGUGGGGAGCGAACAGG